UACAGAGACUGCAAGCGUUAUUCGGAUUCACUGGGCGUAAAGGGUGCGCAGGCGGCCAAGUGUGUUAGGCGUGAAAGCCCGGGGCUUAACCCCGGAAUUGCACCUAAAACUACAUGGCUAGAGCAUUGGAGAGGGUAGCGGAAUUCACGGUGUAGCAGUGAAAAUGCGUAGAUAUCGUGAGGAACACCAGAGGCGAAGGCGGCUACCUGGACAAAUU
rnacentral:rRNA from 1 species